CUGCCUCCCCGGGAGACUCUCCAGGAUUAGCAGGUGGAUCUGACCCGGGCUCCUUUCAAACUGUGGCUUCUACCCUGGGUCUCAGAGUGUGUGCACCUUUUAAGGGCGGCGCUCCUAUUUCCCACAGCCCUCUGGGUCCCCCGAACAUAAGCACCUCUGGCCUUCAGAGAUCGAUCUGCUGGGGGCUCAUCUUCCCGUUGCGGGACCCCGGGCUGCAGAGCCUGGUGUGGGGCCCAGACACCUUGCUCCUUGGGGGGAACCUCUGCAAUUGCAAUCAUUCUCCCAUUUGUGAGUCGCCCCCUCCGGGCUGGGGAUGGGUCUUGCCUGUUCCGUGGCUCUGCCUCUCCUUCUCUUUAGUGCCGACCUCCUCUGCUGGAUUCCAGUCUUUCUCAUCCAUGGUUGAUCUGCUACUAGUUGGAACUUUGGGGUGCCCGUGGGAGGAGGUGAGCUCAGAGCUGUCCAUCGUCACCACCCUGGACCAGAAUCUCGGAAAAGGCCUCCUCCUCCGGGAAGCCCUCCCACCCCCACCCCAGCCCCGCGGACCGUCACCGUCGCCCAGGUUCCACCCCACGUCUUCUCCUCAGGGCUCUGUGCCCCUGCUGCUGCCUCUGAGGCACCUGGUGGCCGGGACACGGCAGGGCCAGCGGGACCACUGACGACUCGUGUCAAGCCUCAUGCUCGGGGCCUUCUGUGCCCGUUAACGAAGGAACGGUUACGGAUGGUGUGGUAGAAGUGGGAUGUGGGAAAGCCAGGGACGAGGUAGCCAAAAAGGCAGUGACAGAGCCGGGUCAAAGGGCAGCUAUUCGGAACCAGCCCAGGUCUGCAGCUUCCCUGCCAAGCGACCUUCAGCAAGGCCCUGGCUCUUUCCGAGGGUCAGUUUCCUCAUCUGUGAAAAGGGGGAGCCGGCUGAUGUAUAGGGAGAGGCAAGGGCCAUGGCAGCACCAAAACGCUCCCUGUUCGGAUGCGUGUCAUCAGAGGAUUUCGCGGCGCUGAUGAGCUGACAGGUCGCUAGGGGACGGUGUGUGCGCAGUGGCCUGCGGCUGCCUACAACAUUCGCCCUAAUUGAGGGCCUGGCCCCCAGCCAGGUGGGAAACAGUUUCCAUGGGGCCGCUCAGGCCGGAUGGAUGAGGACCAAGAGGCAACUCUCAAGCCGGAGGUGAGAGAGGGCACCUGGGCCGUGGGAAGUGGCCAGCGGCCUGAGAGCCCUCGCCUUUCUGCAGUUGCCCGUAGGCUGCCUCCCUCUUGGACCCAAGUGGGUUUUCUCUAGGCCUCAGGGUUUGUCCAGCGCAGAGGUUGGGCUACACCCACAAGUGGCUUAAGAGGUAGAAGGCAGGCUGGGGGCGGGGGUGGGCCCAGGGCACCUGCUUCUCCAAGACAUCUUGGGGCAGGUGGGCUUGGCCCAGCCCGGACAGCCGGCUCCCCAGGCCUGGGCUCCUGGGGAGGACCCUGCAGCAGCUGCUAGAGCCUGGGCUCUGUGUCUCGUCCCAGUCUGGGGCUUCUAAAUUUAACCUGCCGUCAGCUAGAGGGGCUGGAGGGCUUCCACAGGGUGAUCAGAUGCCACUCGGAAUCCACUUUACUCAUGACCCCCUGCCCUCUGCACACAUUCCCCUCCAAGCACUACCCCCAAAUGCAGGCAGCCGUCCUCGCAUCCUUGCAUGUCUCCAGGGUAAAGAUUGAAGACCCGAGCCGCCCUGGAUCCUGAUCAGAUCCAGCUCACUUUCUUCCUGCCAUUGGCCAGGGU
rnacentral:lncRNA from 1 species